rnacentral:rRNA from 1 species
CAGUCGCCGCGGUAAUACGUAGGAUGCAAGCGUUAUCCGGAAUGAUUGGGCGUAAAGCGUCUGUAGGUGGCUUUUCAAGUCCGCCGUCAAAUCCCAGGGCUCAACCCUGGACAGGCGGUGGAAACUACCAAGCCAGAGUACGGUAGGGGCAGAGGGAAUUUCCGGUGGAGCGGUGAAAUGCGUUGAGAUCGAAAAGAACACCAACGACGAAAGCACUCUGCUGGGUCGACACUGACACUGAGAGACGAAAGCUAGGGGAGCAAAUGGGAUUAGAUACCCCGUAGUCCCUGUCUCUUAUACC